rnacentral:lncRNA from 1 species
GUAAGUCCAUUGAGUGGCCUCUGAUAUCCAGUUUUGUUUUAGGAGAUUGGUGUAAAUCCAUCUAUUGGUAUCCGAUAUCCGCUUUGUUUGUGAGAUUGGAGUAAGACCAUUGAGUGGCAUCCGGUAUCAUUUGCUUGCUUACAUUAUUAUUGCUUAUUGCCCAUUCCAAAGGACACACUUGAAUCAUCUCCUAUAUGAUUUCAAGAGGUGAACCUUCUAAGAAGUUUUACU